rnacentral:rRNA from 1 species
GAUAAACCGGAGGAAGUGGGGAUGACGUCAAAUCAUCAUGCCCUUAUGACCUGGGCUACACACGUGCUACAAUGGAUGGUACAACGAGUCGCGAGACAGUGAUGUUUAGCUAAUCUCUUAAAACCAUUCUCAGUUCGGAUUGUAGGCUGCAACUCGCCUACAUGAAGUCGGAAUCGCUAGUAAUCGCGGAUCAGCACGCCGCGGUGAAUACGUUCCCGGGCCUU